CGGUGCCGCUCCUCCCACCCGCGCCCCGCGCCCGCGCCCGAAGCCCUGGACUUGAGGCGCUCGGUGAGGUCGUGCCGGUCGGCGAGACCGAGCGCGGUCGCGUGCGGGUGGCCAAGUUGGUUGGCUUUUGAGGCGAAAAAGCCCCUACCCCGUAAGGGAAACAAACAAACAAAAAAAGGGUUCCGUGUGGGAGUCCUGGGGCUCCCUUGGCUGGAAUCCGAGUCCACCGCUCCGGGACCUUGGGCGAGAAACUCAACCUCCCUGAGGUGUUUCCUCACUUGGCAGAUGGGGAAAUGACAGUUGUCUUUUGCCGGCAAUGUUGUGGGGGAGUAAAUAAGAUAAUGCACGUGAGGAGCCGAGAGCAGGGCCUGGCACCUGGCGAGGAGGGGAACAGCGCUCGGCAGAUGGUCUAGGUUGACGGAUGAGAGAGACAGAAUCCCACGGAGGUAUCUGUACAUCACAGCAAUAAAGGAAAUGGGGAAUCCACUACUGGAACUUGGUUAACAGUAAACAAGGUUCAUUGGCUGGGGACCUGUGACUUACAUUGGGACAAGACAGAUUAACAAGAGAAAAACAAACAGACAUUUAUUGACAUGAGAAAUUACACAUACACAUGGGAGUACCCAGAGGCGGGAGGUAGGCAUCCCAGUGUGUGUGGUGGCUGUGCUCCUCAGUGGUUGACUUGUUUUGCCUGAACUGAUAUGGCUUUUACUACAUCUCUGCUCCAGUCAGAUGGUUGGAAGAAGUGGGGGGCGCCAACAACUCAGUGAUUUCUUCAAGUCGGAGGCUCGGACUUGGACUUGGCAAAGGACGAAGAUAGAAGUGAGAGACCUUGAGGGAGAAGACUGGCUGCAGGAAAAUGUGCAAAUAUCAAGGUUACCUGGGUCUGCUGGUCACUUCUAGUUUUUGGACUCUUGAAGAUGCUGGCCCUCUGAAUGUUUGGCUUUUGUAAUAGAUCGUAACGUACCAAGAGAAGCCAAUUACUAAUCACAAAUAGAAAACCAACCAUGAGGAGGAGAAAAGAUCUGUGCGUGCGCUCACAUGGGCAGAGAGUAAUGCUACGGAUUCCCUGUGAAGGAGAUGCAUCGUCGUGAAGCUCUUGGAAACUUUGACUCCUAGUGGGCGUCCUGGAUGCAUCCUGGGAAUAUAGAUUCACACAGACACACACACACACAUGCACACAUGUGCACACAUGCAUGCACACAUGCAUGCACGUGUGUACACACACACACACACACACACACACACACACCUGUCCCAGGCAAACUUGAGCGCAGUUUGGAGUCUGAAAACGUGGGAAUUGUGAAACCACUUGAGCCGUUUCCAAAGGGAAAUUAGGAAAAUGUAGGGUAGAAAUCUGAGGUGAUGUUAGCCUUCAGUCAGAUGUCUUCAUGUUUGAACAACUGUCAGUGCUUCAGGUGUGUGCGCUGUGGGGAGGGGGCUCCGAAACAAAUCUGUCUGUUCUCUCCUACCCUGUAGUUAGAUGCAGCACUAACCAGGAGAUGGAAGUGUGUACAACUGGUUAAGCCUGUAAGGUUUGGCUUUGGAAUUCUUCCUCUUCCCCUUUGGUGUUGCUUUGUCCACAAAGCCCCUGUCCCCUGUCCCCUCAAACUGUCACCCAAGUGUUACCCCUCCUAAGGACAUUGGCAUUUUAGGAACCUACUUUUAAAUCAAAGACCCUUAAAUUCCUUUAAACUCCAUUCUAAAGGAAUGGUGGGACAUUCCAAGCUUAGUAGGUAGGAUGGCAGAUAUUUGGGAGCCAGAGAAAGCUGGACACAACCCUUUACUGUAGGACUCCAUAACAUAACUCCGUUGUCCACUUCCCUCCUCUCCCCCUCCCAUCCUUCACGGCUCUCUGCGGUCUCAUCUUAGGUGAGAAGCAAGCAAGCAAAUUAAAAAAAAAA